CAGGAACAUAGCCAGGUGCCUCCAGCAUAGCCACAGCCUUCAGUACUAGCUUCCACAAGUAGUGAUUAUACACUAAAUAAUGGAGGUCAUAGCAGAUAUUUUAAAAACUAGAAGCUGAAGAAAGCUUCCUUCUCUACUGAAAUAACUGAGUCAGAAGGAAUCACAUUCAGUGGGAUUUUUACUUUCAUCAUCACCAUAAAUCCUGUUUACAAGACACUCCUCCAUAGAUCUUGAAGAUCAGAUUUGAUUCAGUAAGGUAGAGUGACAGGUGUACAAGAAAUGGAAUAAUCUAUCCUGAAAGCAUGCAAGCACUCUGGAAAUAC
rnacentral:lncRNA from 1 species